UCUCAUCACCUUAAACAGGCACACGGGAGACUUCUCCCCCUGGCAGGCAGUGACUGUUCUGAGGUCGCAGAGCAGCAGAGACAGCGCCAGAAGUCUCAGCCCUGCUGCUGUGGUCUUGGAGCCUGGUCCUUCCCCAGGGCCCUCGCAGCAAGCUGAGGAGAGAGGCCCCAGGCAGCGUGGCCAGGACCGGGGCAUUUGUCCUCCAAGCGAUGCGAACAAGUUUGCCCCCUGCAGGAAUACUGGGGAUUUGACCUGGGGCCUUCAUAUCAAGCUGCACCCCUUGCACCUUUUUAUUUGGAGACUGAUUCUCACUAAGUUCCACUGAGCCUGAACUUGCCAUCCUCCUGCCUCAGCCUCCCAGAGUGCUGGGAUGCCGGGUAUGCACCACCAUGCCCAGCCCCUGCUGAUCUUUUGAGAGGAAGUGAGUCCGCAGCCCGCCCUCCUCCUCCCCACAGAGACCCUCCGGCCCAGGCAAAACUCUGUCCACUCCGCAGCUGGACACGCCGAGGCUCCAAGCCAGCACCACACAGCGUGAGCUGCAGAUCCCAGGACAAUGUCCUCUGAGCCCCAGGGGGCCCGCUCCUUCCAGGUUCCAGGGACUUGCAGAAGAGGAGGCAGGGGCCAGAGUCCAUCUCAGCACCUAUGAUGAGCAGGGGACACAGCCCGGAGUGUCCUCUAUGUGCCGGCACAAGAGUGUGUCUGGAAGCCCAGGCUGCUUCUGAGACAGCCCCACUAAUGGCAGCGCCCAAUUUCACAUCAGUUAGUCAGUCAACUAUUGCUUUCACUGAGCAUACCCAGACAGUCCCACCCUCACUGGUUGCAAGCAGCAGCACACACUGAUUCAUGUUGUCCACUUUUGUCUCCUUGUGUCCCUUAAGGCUCGAGCAAAGAGAGACAGCUCCAUGCGCCUGUGAGCUCCGUGCAUGGGAAGGCGGUGCUUCGGGGCAGAAUUGCUGGCUGUGACCUCUGGAGGGAUGGGACAGCCCUCUCCACUCCACACGCCUGCUUCCCGGGAGCGCAGAGGGGGACUGGGGGACCAGGGAGCCUGAGGCUGGAGGCAGAGGCCAGUCCUGGCCUGAGGGGCCUGGUGGCGCCUGUCGCUCUGGCUGUGUGUCCCUGGCUCUGGGGAAGCCCCAGGGAGGAGACGCUGGUCCCUGGGGUUCAGCCUCAGGCAUGUUGGCCUCAGAGCGCUUCUGCCACCUUCAACUUCAACAGCUGGAAAGUGCGGCUGCGCUCAGAGAUCCAGGGCAAGCUCCUCCACGCGCUGUUGCUCUGUGGUCCCGGAGUGACUGUUGGUGAGCAACAGGCCAGUGCCUCAGGCCGCAGCUCUGUCCUAAGCACCCAGAGCUUAGGGGCCUGGUGGGGCCUUUGGAACUCAGACCUGCCCCUCUCUGUUUCUACGUAUUUUGAAACAGAAGUUUAAUAGUCUUAGUUCUUUUUCCAUCAAGGUGUAACCUAUAACCUGGCCCAUGCUGUUGCACACCUGAAAUCCCAGCACU